GAAGAAAAAAAAAAAAGAAAAAAGCAACAAGAACCCUGCGCUCACGCUUCCCAACUAUAUUUCUCCUCCUUCCAUGAAGAAAAAAACCUUUUUGCCAUAUGCCAUCAACUCCUAUAAUUGUUUGCCUGAGAUGCUGUCUCCUCUGCACCAAAGCUUACUGCACAAACCAUGUAGUGGUUGCAAGUUAAUAUUAAUCUAUGUUGCUAAAAAGGUAAGAGAAUUAUAACCUUUGAAGAAAAAGAUGACAAGCAACUUGAAGUAGACAUACUGGAAGGCUUCUGAAUAGCUGGUAAUUCUUGUUUUGGUGAUUUCAUGUGUGUUUUCA